rnacentral:rRNA from 1 species
GACGAACGCUGGCGGCGUGCUUAACACAUGCAAGUCGAACGGAAAGGCCCUGCUUUUGUGGGGUGCUCGAGUGGCGAACGGGUGAGUAACACGUGAGUAACCUGCCCUUGACUUUGGGAUAACUUCAGGAAACUGGGGCUAAUACCGGAUAGGAGCUCCUGCUGCAUGGUGGGGGUUGGAAAUUUUCGGCGGUUGGGGAUGGACUCGCGGCUUAUCAGCUUGUUGGUGGGGUAGUGGCUUACCAAGGCUUUGACGGGUAGCCGGCCUGAGAGGGUGACCGGCCACAUUGGGACUGAGAUACGGCCCAGACUCCUACGGGAGGCAGCAGUGGGGAAUAUUGCACAAUGGGCGGAAGCCUGAUGCAGCAACGCCGCGUGCGGGAUGACGGCCUUCGGGUUGUAAACCGCUUUCGCCUGUGACGAAGCGUGAGUGACGGUAGUGGGUAAAGAAGCACCGGCUAACUACGUG